GCAAAAAUCUCUGGGGAGAAAAAUAUAACUAAUUAAUCACAAUCAGUUAUAGAAUUCUUUGUUCCUUCUCCACUCCCACUGCUUCACUUGACUACCCUUAA
rnacentral:sRNA from 1 species